rnacentral:sRNA from 2 species
ACAACUGAAUUAGGCGGGGUUCCAGCGAAGCCGGUGUAAGUCCGGCAGUGUCCCGCAACCGUGACGGACAAAAGGUCCGAACUCGGGUCGCCUGGAGCAUCCGCACGCGGCCUACACGCCUUCGCGAGAAAGGGGUGCGCCAG